GACAAGACCGAGGUAGUUGACCCACUUUUUGUGGUCAAAGAAUGUAUUCUAAACUUUCAAUUCUUGUUUAGUUAAUUUAAUUUUCUCCUUUUUUAUUCCAGUUUCAUAUUUGUACCUUAAAUUUUAAUAUUUUCCAUUGACUUUUAAGCGUUCUAUUCUUAAAAAAUCAGUGCAAAGUAUACAAACGUACUAAGAGGUAUACAACCCGAUAAAGGAGAUAAACUAAAAGCCAUUUAUACUUAUCUUAAUAACUUAAUUGUUCAAGCAUAAUUGAAUAAUAUUUCUGCAAUAAAAGAUAAACCUAUUCUUUAAACAAGAAUGAAGUUGGUAAUUUUGGAAACAACAAAUGCUGUGGGCGAAUGGGCCGCUAAAUAUGUGAUGAAAAGGAUUAAUGAAUUCAAUCCAGGACCAAAUAAAUUCUUUGUUUUGGGAUUGCCAACUGGUAGUACACCUUUAGGGAUGUACAGAAAACUUAUUGAACUUCAUAAAGCUGGUAAAGUUUCCUUUAAAUAUGUGAAAACCUUCAACAUGGAUGAAUAUGUUGGCCUUCCUCGUGAUCAUCACGAAAGCUAUCACUACUUUAUGUGGGAUAAUUUCUUCAAACACAUCGAUAUCGAUCCAUCGAAUGUUCAUAUACUCAAUGGAAAUGCCCCUGACCUUGUAGCCGAAUGCAAUGCAUUCGAAGUUGAAAUAAAAAAGGCCGGUGGCGUUGAAUUGUUUAUUGGUGGCAUUGGACCUGAUGGUCAUAUUGCAUUUAACGAACCAGGAUCGUCUUUGGUUUCAAGAACUCGAGUUAAAACUCUGGCUCAAGAUACAUUGGAAGCAAAUGCUAGAUUUUUUGAUAACGACAUGAGUAAGGUUCCCAAACAAGCAUUAACUGUAGGUGUUGGAACUGUGAUGGAUUCGAAAGAAGUUAUGAUCCUCGUUACUGGGGCACACAAGUCGUUUGCAUUGUACAAAGCUAUAGAAGAAGGUGUCAAUCAUAUGUGGACCGUUAGUGCAUUCCAACAGCAUGAAAAUACUUUGAUGGUAUGUGAUGAAGAUGCAACACUAGAACUUCGUGUUAAGACUGUGAAAUAUUUCAAGGGAUUAUUUAUUGAUGUUCACGAAAAGAUGAUUGACUAAGCAUCAGGAUUUCCAGAGUUUAAAAAAUAUCAAACGUAAAAGAAAAAUACAAAAUAAACUUAAUUGCAUUUAUAUCCAUUCAACAAUUUGCUGUCCUUGGGUUUGUAUACAUUACCGGUUUGAUGGGAAUACACUCAAAACUGAUUGAUGAAAUGUAAACGGAAAGUUAUCAAUUAGAACUUUUUUAAUUCUUUUUACUAAAUGUUGAGACAUUUGAUUAAACUAAAAGAACUUAUGUAUCUGUUGAUAGUUUUAGUUUUUUAUUAAGUCAAAUAUAUUUUUAUACCAAUUAUCCUCUCCCAAAUAUAAAUAUAAA